CCUCCUGUCGUCAGCCACCAGCACCGGUACUCAUCAGACCGAUCUAGGAUUUCGUAUCGCACGGCAGCGUUAUGAGAGAGGAAGCCAUCUGAUGAAUUCUUGAGGGCAGUUGACCAAGACAUUGCAGAUUUCACCAUCAAUAUUAUUGCAAAGCCUUUGACGAUGGCAUUACUUGGAGAAGGGUUGAAUGUUCCAAGAUGCGACUCCGUAAGCAGUAGAUUUUCUUGAAGCUGCUCAAAGCAAAAGAUCUUACGAAAAGAGUAAAAUAAAAAGAAAGCCUUUUUAGGAUAAUCCAACCAAAAUAUUCAUUUAUUUUUGGUUUCAUUUCAAAGUUACUGAAGUCUGACCCAACUUUUUUUCGUAAUUAUAAUGA